rnacentral:rRNA from 1 species
GACGAACGCUGGCGGCGUGCUUAACACAUGCAAGUCGAACGGUGAAGCGCCUUCCUUUUUGGUGGGUGUGGAUGAGUGGCGAACGGGUGAGUAACACGUGAGUAACCUGCCCCCUUCUUCUGGAUAACCGCAUGAAAGUGUGGCUAAUACGGGAUAUUCUGGGUCUGUCGCAUGAUGGGUCUGGGAAAGAUAUUGUUUCGGUGGGGGAUGGGCUCGCGGCCUAUCAGCUUGUUGGUGGGGUGAUGGCCUACCAAGGCGGUGACGGGUAGCCGGCCUGAGAGGGUGGACGGUCACACGGGGACUGAGAGACGGCGCAGACUCCUACGGGAGGCAGCAGUGGGGAAUAUUGCACAAUGGGCGCAAGCCUGAUGCAGCGACGCCGCGUGAGGGAUGGAGGCCUUCGGGUUGUGAACCUCUUUCGCCAGUGAAGCAGGCCUGCCUCGUUUGUGGGUGGGUUGACGGUAGCUGGAUAAGAAGCGCCGGCUAACUACGUG